AAGUCGUAACAAGGUCUCCGUUGGUGAACCAGCGGAGGGAUCAUUACAGAGUUUUCUGAACUCCCAACCCAUGUGAACUUACCUAUGUUGCCUCGGCGGCGCCCGGUAGCGAGCAUCUCGCGACCUACCCGGGACCGCCGGUGGAAAACCAAACUCUUUGAAUUCUUAGCACUUCUGAGUUAAAAUCAUAAUAAGUUAAAACUUUCAACAACGGAUCUCUUGGUUCUG
rnacentral:misc_RNA from 1 species